rnacentral:rRNA from 1 species
UACGGAGGGGACUAGCGUUGUUCGGAAUUACUGGGCGUAAAGCGCACGUAGGCGGAUUUGUAAGUCAGGCGUGAAAGCCCCGGGCUCAACCUGGGAACCGCGCUUGAGACUGGCACGCUAGAGUUCGGGAGAGGAUGGUGGAAUUCCCAGUGUAGAGGUGAAAUUCGUAGAUAUUGGGAAGAACACCGAUGGCGAAGGCAGCCAUCUGGACCGACACUGACGCUGAGGCGCGAAAGCGUGGGGAGCAAACAGG